GAAUUUCACUAGGGGAGCCUAUGGCUGAGAUGGAACUUCUGUUCUAAACCCUUUGAACCUGAUCUGGAUUAUACCAGCGGAGGGAAGUGGAGAGAGCCUAUG
rnacentral:ncRNA from 2 species